AACGCACGAGACCUGCGGACCUGCGGAAGGAUCAUUACCGAGUGCGGGCCCUCUGGGUCCAACCUCCCACCCGUGUUUAUUGUACCUUGUUGCUUCGGCGGGCCCGCCAUUCUGGCCGCCGGGGGGCUUGCCCCCGGGCCCGCGCCCGCCGAAGACACCCUCGAACUCUGUCUGAAGAUUGUAGUCUGAGUGGAAUUAUAAAUUAUUAAAACUUUCAGCAAUGGAUCUCUAGAUCGGAAG
rnacentral:misc_RNA from 1 species